AAAUGAUUAUUACUUUGGGGUCAGACUCAGACUGUUCAAGGACGGAUUUUUUUUUUUUUAACUUACUACGUCAAACGCCAUUGAAUUUCAAGAUUGAAAAGAAUCAUGACUUCCUGACAAAUACGACCAAAACGCUUGGCUGAAACAUUCUCAGUGACAGGAAACUCACUACCUCACUACUUCUGGUCUUUUCCAUUUCGCUUUCCUUUCCCACUCCUCCCGAUUUUUACAAUCUUUAUUGCAGCAUUUUGCACACCUGAUGCACAGAGGCCUGUUAGUCUGUAAGUGGGAGGGACAGAGGGAACCCCAGGGCCCAGUCCAGGGCCUGAGACUCCCGGGCUCAGAGUGGGCGCGCGGUAGCUGACAGUUGGGUAAGGUAGCGGCGCCACCUUUCUGCCGAGUUCGCCUCGAGUCUCGGCUUUCCUGCGGGCACAGGGUCCUUCUCCCCGGACUCCUCGCUUUUCCUCCCCCAGGUCCGCCGCCACGCGCAGCCGCAUCCCCGCCGCCGCCCCCGUCACCUGCGCGCCCGCCCUGACGGCUCGGGGGCCACUCCUGCCGCCCCGGGAGCGGUGGCGGAGGGCGCGGGGCGCGCGGGCGGCGACCCGACCUUUCCUCCCUUCUCUCCCCCAACUCCCGCCUCUCCCUCCGCUCCCCCUCAGCCCCUCCUUCCACACUCCGCUGCCUCCUCUCUCUUGACAGCUGCCCGGCACCUUCGGCAGGGAGUUUGGAGCCGCCCCACCGCAGAGCCUACAGCCGGCCGAGACCCCGCGCCGCCGCCAUCUCUGCCUCCGCCUGGGUGGGACCUGGGCCUCGAGGUCUCCUUCCUACUUUGGAAACUGAAGGGACUGCGACGGAAACCAACGGCUUGUGUAUAUGUCAGUUUUUUUAUGUGCGUGUGUAUUUGUU
rnacentral:lncRNA from 1 species